UACGUAGGAGGCAAGCGUUGUCCGGAAUUACUGGCGUAAAGCGCGUGUAGGUGGUGGGACAAGUCUGCUGUGAAAGCGCCUGGCUUAACCGGGCGAGGUCGGCGGAAACUGUCCGACUCGAGGACGGUAGAGGGGGGUGGAAUUCCCGGUGUAGUGGUGAAAUGCGUAGAGAUCGGGAGGAACACCUGUGGCGAAGGCGGCCCCCUGG
rnacentral:rRNA from 1 species